UUUGUGGAACGAGAGAUGAGGAGCUUGCUCUUCAAAUCGAGUGGCGAACGGGUGAGUAACGCGUGAGGAACCUGCCUCAAAGAGGGGGACAACAGUUGGAAACGACUGCUAAUACCGCAUAAGCCCACGGCUCGGCAUCGAGCAGAGGGAAAAGGAGCAAUCCGCUUUGAGAUGGCCUCGCGUCCGAUUAGCUAGUUGGUGAGGUAACGGCCCACCAAGGCGACGAUCGGUAGCCGGACUGAGAGGUUGAACGGCCACAUUGGGACUGAGACACGGCCCAGACUCCUACGGGAGGCAGCAGUGGGGAAUAUUGCACAAUGGGGGAAACCCUGAUGCAGCGACGCCGCGUGGAGGAAGAAGGUCUUCGGAUUGUAAACUCCUGUUGUUGAGGAAGAUAAUGACGGUACCCAACAAGGAAGUGACGGCUAACUACGUGCCAGCAGCCGCGGUAAAACGUAGGUCACAAGCGUUGUCCGGAAUUACUGGGUGUAAAGGGAGCGCAGGCGGGAGAACAAGUUGGAAGUGAAAUCCAUGGGCUCAACCCAUGAACUGCUUUCAAAACUGUUUUUCUUGAGUAGUGCAGAGGUAGGCGGAAUUCCCGGUGUAGCGGUGGAAUGCGUAGAUAUCGGGAGGAACACCAGUGGCGAAGGCGGCCUACUGGGCACCAACUGACGCUGAGGCUCGAAAGUGUGGGUAGCAAACAGGAUUAGAUACCCUGGUAGUCCACACCGUAAACGAUGAUUACUAGGUGUUGGAGGAUUGACCCC
rnacentral:rRNA from 1 species